rnacentral:rRNA from 1 species
CAGUAGCGUAUACUAAAGUUGUUGCAGUUAAAAAGCUCGUAGUUGGAUUUCUGCGCGAUGCGGAUGGCCCGCUCCCUUUGGGUUGUGGUGCCUGUCAUGCGUCGCGCAUCCUGUCGUGAACUGCCCUGGUCUUCAUUGACUGGGGUCUCAGGGAGCGACUCCUUUACUUUGAGAAAAAUAGAGUGUUCAAAGCAGGCAUGUGCCUUGAAUAAAUUAGCAUGGAAUAAUAACAUAGGACUCCGGUCUUGGUUAUUGGUGUACGGGACCGAAGUAAUGAUUGAGAGGGACGGUUGAGGGCAUUUCUAUUGUCUGGCGAGAGGUGAAAUUCGCGGACCCAGGCAAGAGAAACAACUGCGAAAGCAUCUGCCAAGGACGUUCCCUUAAUCAAGAACGAAAGUUGCGGGAUCGAAGAUGAUCAGAUACCAU